CAAACGUGUGCUCAACCGAUCUUUAAUCAUUAUAAAGGAAGAUGCUACCACAUCGAGCCUGUUGCUAGAGAAGAAAAUCAAUAUAUAUGUUAUGUAACUUACCCUUUAGACCUUUUUGAAGAAGGUUUUGUUACUAAUAUGUUUACUUCCAUUGUGGGUAAUGUA